rnacentral:rRNA from 1 species
AGUGAACGCUGGCGGCAGGCCUAAUACAUGCAAGUCGAACGGCAGCACAGCAGAGCUUGCUCUGUGGGUGGCGAGUGGCGGACGGGUGAGGAAUACGUGGGAAUCUGCCCAGUCGUGGGGGAUAACGUAGGGAAACUUACGCUAAUACCGCAUGCGCCCUUCGGGGAAAGCCGGGGACCUUCGGGCCUGGCGCGAUUGGAUGAGCCCACGUCGGAUUAGCUAGUUGGCGGGGUAAAGGCCCACCAAGGCGACGAUCCGUAGCUGGUCUGAGAGGAUGAUCAGCCACACUGGAACUGAGACACGGUCCAGACUCCUACGGGAGGCAGCAGUAGGGAAUAUUGGACAAUGGGCGCAAGCCUGAUCCAGCCAUGCCGCGUGAGUGAAGAAGGCCCUCGGGUUGUAAAGCUCUUUGUCCGG